GCUGGUAGACUAUAUGUGGUUAGUACCUCCAGUCAUCCUUCAGAUGGUGUUUAUAAUUAGCAGUACAAUGGCACUGAGUAACAUCCACGGUUGUACUGCAGUGCAACCGCUUGGAAAUGGAUUUCCUGGAACCUCUUUUUUCCCUACUCCUGGGUUCAAUAAGUACAAAAUAUUGUCUCCCCAGCAGUCUCAGCCAUCCCCUUGCUGCCUCAUUGAGUCAGCUCUCAUGGAGAUUCCUCAACCCACUGAGGUGUUUCACAUUGACAGGUAAAUUAUCUGCUAAUUAAUUCUCAUUCACUUGUAAGCUUUAGAUGACACUCUUAUUUCUGGAGGGUAUAAGUUACCUCCAUUGGCAUCUCCUUCUGUCAUAGAGUCAGAUUUCUGUCUUCUGCUUCAUCACAUUUAGCCUCUGGUAACAGAUACAAACCAUGUGUGUGCCUCUGCCUCUACUGAAUUCAUUCUCUCUCACGAGAGAGAGGGAAAUGCAGACUACCCCAGAAGCCAUGAAGUUGCUUCUUUCUUAUCUCAGGAAGAGGUUUCCACAUAUUUGUUUCUGAUGCAGAAGAGAUGUGAGGACUGAGGAACCACCUGGGACAUGACGUUUCAUACCUCUAAAUUCAAAAUGCUAAACUUGGUGACAGCACAGCUUGUCUAUUGGUUUGUCACACGAGUUUUAGAAUGCCUUUCUCUAUCAGUGUGUUUGCUUUUCAAAGGCAGCAUCUUGUCCCUUCAUGGCCCGUGGGGCCCAAUGCUUGGGUUUGAUUUAUGUGUUCGCAGAUCUUGCCUUCAAAAUCAACACCAAUCUUUCCAAUCACGCGAUAGAGAAGAAACCAAAUGUCCUCUAAUGGCUGCUCCAUUGGAAAUCCAGGCAAGGAGUGGCGACCUGGCACCGUGAUCCCAGAGCGCUGUAAGGCUGGAGUUCGUGUGUAAUUCACCUCUGAUCUGGAGACAAAAAAUGACAAUUUCUGCCUGAGGAGACUGCUCCUACAGCCGCUGCCGGAGCUGUUCUGUCACUCGCUCAGGCCCGUAAGGUAAUUUCCUCCACAUGUUUUCAAGAAGCGAAGAGAGGACCAGUACGUUUCAGUCUGCUUGGUUUGUGAUUUCUCAUUCCCACUCAAGACGUUGUCUGUGACCUUUCUGCAGGUCCAGCAAAUUUUUGCAGCUGCUAAACCAUGAAAUCAGUGGAUCCUUUGAGUUUGGUACUGGAACCACUCUUGUUUUAAGGAUAACUUACAUUUGUAACAGAGUUUCGCUUGCUUAACGUUAGCUAAUGAAAAUUUAACAGUAGUUAAUGCCUUAAGGAUUUUUGGUUGGUUGGUUUAGGGGCUUGUUGUUUUUUUUUAAUUGGUUGGUUGGGCUGGGUUUUGAGUUUUUCUUGAAGUACGUGGUGCUGUAUGUUGCUCCUAGCAAAGGAGGUUCAAUGCUAAAUGCUAAAAUGGUAUGCUGGAUUGUCACAACAAACCACCCCUGCAUCUUCCAGAAAAGGAUGGAUGAAUAUGUGCUGGCAGACGCUCCCAAGGGGAGUACUGCCCAUGGGUGAAAGCUGAAGAAUUCCUGAGUGAGUAGUGAGUGCAGGAAACUGGGUUUGACUUCGGUCAGGGUGACACAGGAGGUCCUUGCCCAUCUCUUGUUUUGUACGCACUGUCAGCACUACUCACCAGCUUCUGUGGGGGGUAGAAGGGAGGAGGGUAUCUCUCUAACACAGUAUUUCUGCAUUGAUUGUGAGACUGCUUAUUUUUGAAGUAGCAACAGAAAGGUUUGGUUUCAUGUUUUUUUUAAUAUGUCUGAAGUACGUUCCUCAUGUGCAAUGCAUGCUGUUAAAACAUUGUUCUUUAAUAACAGUAGGGUCCUAUCCCGAGGCGAUAGGAUUGAUGUAAAUUAACAGACGUUUAAUAUUCAGUUCAUACACUACUUAAAAAACAAAUGGUAAUUUUCCAGGAAUAAAUAAAUAAGUAAAUAAAUAAAGUUUUAGGUAAAACCCACAGUUUGGAUUCUGACAUGAAAAAUGUGAUCAUAACACAGUACCUUGAAAUGGGGAAGCUGACCUUGCCAGAAUUACUUUAAUUGUGCAAUAUCGCCAUUUAAAAGUACCUACUGAGAAUAAAACACCAAGAGAUGUUUUUACUGUGGAGACGUGUAGUCAUCGUUACUUUGGGUAAAAAAUAUCACCGAAAAGUUGUCUGUUUAGGUAUUCCUAAAUGGGGAAAAAAAAGCAUAGGAAAAGAUAGCACUCCAAAAUUUCCUAAAAUGAGGCUGUAUCGACAGUUAGCUUGAAGUGUGUUCCGUGCUCCAGCUGGAGUUUCUUCUGGCCAGCAGAUGGAGACGAUGCAGCUGAGUAUCAGAGUGCCGUGCACUGUGCUAGGGGAGUUUAUUGCUCCUUAGUCUCUGGUUGGGGAAGGUGUCUCUUACCAGGGCUGUUCUACAGGAAGGUGUUAACGACCGUGCUGUAUGAGUGACUGUGCAACUUGGCCCUGUGUUUGAGCAUGAUCCUAAUGCCGGUGCAUGGAAAAGGAGACAAAGGUUAAGAAAGAGGGGAGAAGUUUCAUCCAUUCACAGUGCCACCCACCUGAAGUGGCCCUGAAAAAAAAAUAAGGGCUCUUCACGUUGAAAAGGCGACAACCUUGAGGGAUACGGUGUGUGCAUCUACACACUCAUGAACGUAUGGAAGUGGGUGAAUAGGGAAUUCAACAUUUCUCCGCAACUGGGUACCCAAAUGAUGUAUGAGGAUGCUUUCAAGUGCUGCAAUUAAUGUGUGAAAGUAAUUUCUGAUGGGUGUGUCUAGAAAUUAAACUGGAGAACUGGGGCAGCUCUGUCAGCGUAGGCUUGUUGGUGCUCAUUAAGCAAGGCAUCUCAAGGAAACUCCUUCCUCAACAAGUCCAUAAAUCAUGGAGCAGGGAAAAUAAUUGGAAGCCGUGGUCACAAAUUACAAAUAUGUAAAUUGGUUGAAACAGUUGGGCAUGGGAAAAACACAUACCACCCUCACCUGCACUCGGCAUCUCAGAAAACUAAGAGAUCGUACAGAGAGCAUCCCUGUCUGUCUGCCAGCAUCACAACCUCGGGAAUAGGACAGCAAUCAUCACAGACAUUUCCAGCUCACGGGAAGAGUCCACGUUGCCAUGCAUGCUGAACAGGUGAAGUGCAGUCUUUGCAGUGAUUGACCAGUGGGGACAUUUGCAAAGGGAAGAACACGGAAAACAAUUCUGCGUAUCAUUGCCUGAAAAUUGAUGGGAGCUCAUAGGAGAAAAAGGAGAGACUUAACCCACUCGACCAUUAAGGAAACUUUUCCUUCCCGUAUCAAAAGUACACUGCAGCAGAAAGUAGACAGCCGUUGAGAUUUUUCCUUGGUGGUGGAAUUGAUGCUUCAUAGCUUUUAGUCUUAAUUCUGCAUUUUUUACACCCUACCCUAGGGUGCUCUAGCAGGGAAGGUUGGACUCCAUGAUCUCCAGAGGUCCCUUCAAGCCCCAAUUCUGCAAUUCUGCAAUUCUGUGAUUCUGUGGUCUGUUGAAAUUCUACUUACAAAGAAAAUGAGUGCAACGGAUAAGAGAAAAAAGCAGGAAAAUAAAUGCUUUCCAAGUCUGUAAUCAUUUGAUUACUUGAUUUUAUUAAACGUAAAUUAUGCAGACCUUGCUAAGCUUUCUGCAGUAAAAUAUUGUUUCUGUAAAUUAUUGAGUACCUUUCAUUUUCUGCACAGAAAGUCUCAAGGAUUCCUUUUGAAGAAGGAAUUUCGUUAACGAAAUUAAACCCAAAUAGAAG
ensembl:lncRNA